rnacentral:lncRNA from 1 species
UAAACUUGUACAUCCAUCCAUAUCAAGGUACUCAAGAUUUGAUGCCCCCAUGAAAUUUGGCGUCUUUUCAAGCUUUGUGCAACCAGAGAGGCGUAGAACUCUCAAAGAACAUAAAUUUGAUACACUACCAAAAUCAAGGUUGACCAAACUGCUGCAGUUUUGCAAACUUAAGAAAACAAGUUUUGUAUUUCAAAAGAAUAAUAAUUCUUUUUUUAUUGGUAUUUCAAAAGGAUAAUUGAAAUUGUAUGUUGAUGGAAAAUAAUAAUUCUUUUUUUAUUGGUAUUUCAAAAGGAACAAAUAAUUUAAAACAAAGAAAAUUAGAAUAUAGAACACCUAAUUUGAGACAAAUACAAUAAUUAAUUUGUCUCUUAUUGAAAAAAAUUAGAAUACAUGACACCUAAGUCAUAUUUUAAACUUGUCAAAAAAAAAAAAAAGUCAUAUUUUAAAGUUCUAAAUAUCCAUGCAAAAAAUCAUGAAAAAAUUUAAAAUAUUAGUCAGUUUUCUAAACUUCAUAUGUCUACAUGGAAAAAAUAUAAAGUCAAAAAUAAAAAGGAUUUCAAAUUAUAGAGGUAAAAUAUAUUUUUAUAAAGGAGUCAUAUUUCAAACUUUGUGUGUAUUACAGAGUCAAUUUGAACAUUUAACCUUUUAAAAAAAAAAGAUAAAUUGGUAGUAUUAAAAAUGGUAUAUUUGAAAAAAGAGUAAUCAUUUCAUCUAAGAAUUUGUAUAUGAUCUUAUAUUUAGGAACAAAACUUUUUUGUAAACUACUCGUAUAAAAAUGGACAGAGGGAUUAUUUGUAGGGAAAAUAUGUGAAGGAUGAGUUGCAUAGAGUAUAACGAUUCAUAAAUAUGGGUCAAAAAACGUGUUCAAAGAACCUGACUAGCUCUUAAAGCUGGUAAAAACCCUUUCAAAAACGUUUUCCAUCAGUUAGGAGUGCUAAGUAAGUAACCGUACUAAAAGACCGAUCGAGUUUUAUGCUUCGUUGGUUAGAUCUAUUGAAGAAAUUCAGAAAAGUUUGAUUCGAUACAAGAACUACGAGGAGAUCAGGGCUCUGCUAGAGGAACCAGACGAAAAAAUUAGUUUAGUUGAUCUGUGAUCUGUCAUAUUUUAUUUUAUUACGUGUUUUACAUUGUUGAAUUAUGUUUUUCAUGUAUUUGAAAUUGUUAUAUUUAAUGCACGCCGCUGAAAUUCAAUUACCUGUUUUAAAACUCUUGUUUUGUAGGGUGCAAGUGAGGUUCAGAUUAUAUAAUCCGAACCAGAAAUUUCAUCAGUUAUAUUGUUUUACGUCGUUGAAAGUAAAAAAUAUUUGUACUUAUAAUUUUAAUCAAAAUCAAAAUUUUAUAUAAAAUAUCUUUUAUAAUUUACAUGCGUUAGCGCAAUAAAAAGAGCGGAAAAUAUAUUGAAAAAAAAAGCAGAAAAUAUAUUGAAAAAUAAAAUAGAUAGUAAUGACUAUUCUCCAUCUUCCUUAAAAAAAAAACUAUUCUCUAUCUUUUUUAUUAAAAAAAUAAAAAAUAAAAAAUAAAUAAAAUAAAAAAAAACUAUUCUCCAUCUUUUACUUUAUCCAAAAGAAUGCGAGAAAGUGAGAAGAAAUGGUGAAUUGACUAUAUUGACCAUUGGGUUUUAAAGUUUACUUAUAUUUUAUCUUCUUUUUUUUUCCUCACAAUUCUUUAGAUUUUAUUUUUUUUGUUCUACUUCAUAUUUCAUUUUACGAUUUAUUUGGGUGAGCCAUUUUACUCUAAAGCAAAAUAUAGGACCACACAUGUAAAUCACGUUUUCACGGUUACAACCAUCGCAAUAAUUAAAUUAAUUAAAUCGUUAAAUGAAAUUAUUGAUUCGUAAAAUUAAAUAAAUAAUAAAUUGAAUAUACAGUUGCUUGUUAAAAAUUGAAAUUAAAAAUAAUUAAAUCAAAUCAAACUAAUAAUUGAUUUAACUAAUAAAUUAUAUGUUGUUUUAACUUGAGGAUAUUAUUGUCUUUUUAAAAGAAUAGUAACUUCUCUUUCUCUUCUAUUUUCCUCUUCUUUCUCUUAUACCAAACAAUAUUUCAAAUCUACUAUAUUUCUUUUCUAUUUUCUCUUCUUUCACUCUUUCUUACCUCUUUCUCUCUUCUCAUCUUCUUUUCACAACCAAACUUAGUGUUAAUAACCACUCUUAACCCAAAGUGAUAAAUAUGUAUAGAUUAGGACACUUGUUAUAACUAAAAAAAAUGAAAAAGUACCAUUGUAGUGUACUCUAAUCCAUUUCUCCGAAAAAUUGGACCUAUAGAAGCAAUAAUACUGAUGGUACGAUCUUAAUUAUAGAACACAAUACAAGAUCUUAAAUUUGUUUUUUAAAUAUGAUUAUGUGAUUUCAAAAUUAUAACUGUUAAAUCUUAAUCAAACAGUUUUGUUUAUUGUAGAUCUAAUGGUUGGAUUUUGAUGUCUAUCCUUUGAAAAUAUAGAUUAGUCAAGCAAUCUAGUUGGUUCUAUAUCCUUCACCUGGCUCACUAUGUGUGAAUUAAAAAAAAAAAAAUCUAAACUUGAAAUCUAGAUCGUCUAAUUUUAAUCUAAGAAUCAUAUUUUGUCUUGACUAUCUUAAUUUGUGUGCUUGCAUGAAUGCCUACAUCCAAAAGAUUCAAUUUCAUAUUGGCCCACCACUAUCUUCUUUGACCGCCUCUAGAACUGUUGUCACUAUAUAGACUCUUGCUUUGCCGAUUCCCAAUACUCAUUUCACUUGCAUCAAGAACCGUUAUCAAUAUAUAGACUCUUGCUUUAUCAAUUCUCAAUACUCAUUUCACUGAAAGUUUUCAUCUCUCGCCCCCCCCCCCCCCCCACUUCAAACUCCGAAAUUAACUUUCAACGCUAUCAGAAUGGUAAAGUAUACCCACUUCAAUUACAAUGCCAAUUUUAAUUCUUUUAUUUUUAUUUCUUAUUACAAUUGUUGUUUUUGUCACUUAGGAUAUGAUGGUUAUGCCUUGGCUAAAAAAUCUGCUUGCAAUCACUGCAUUUUUCACAACAUGUGAAGUUUACUCAAACGAGUCAAAAAAUGAGCGCAACAUGUUUUUUCUCUAUUGCAAUGACAAUCCAUUUUAUAGAUCUUGCAUAAAAUCUCAUCACAAAGAUCAAUCCAAGUGAGUGUUGUUUAAAGUGAUAGCUAGAUCUAUAUAAUAUCCCAAUAAUCUAUGUAUCUUUAUGUGAUAUUCAUUUCUCUUUAUUUAAUUUUUGUUACAUUCAAAAAGUUUUAUUUAAUUUUUUUGACUUUGGGAUGUAAAUUUGAACCUUGAUACUUGCAUCUUAUACUAAGUACUAACGUCAUUAAGACGAUUGAAAUUUACAAGCAUUUGGACAUCCUAAGAAUUCAAACGUGUGUGAUUUGCAACUUUACAGUUGUAUUCAUAAACAAGUGGUCUUAUUCCCAAUCUACGAUGAACAAGAUUGGUAAGAUACGUCAAAGAAAUAUUGUGGAUACUUAUUACUUUUGCUCUCUCACAUGCCAGGUAUAUUGUUUUUCUUGAUCUCAUUUAUUUUUUCUUUAUCAUAUAACAUAUCUCUUUUUUUUGUCAAAAAAAAAAAACAUAUCUCGUUUUAAUUUAUUUUGUAAAUAAACUUUAAAAAUAUGGUUCAGAUAUUUAAUUGAGAAUGUAUUUUCCUUUAUGUUUAUUAACUUUAUUGAUAGUUUUAUUGGGACAAAGAAUGAGAAUUAUACAACACCAAAAAAAAAUGAGAAUUAUAACUUGUACUUUAUUCCGUUGAUUAUGAUUGUUGUACACUUGUUAUUUUUUUUUCUUUUUUAAAUAUAAUUAAUUAAUGUUGCAUUGUGUGUGCAUGAUACAAGUUUGAAUGCAUAAAGAAGGAUGCGGACUUUUUCCUAAAUGCAAAGGAGACAGAAGAAAUGGAAAGAUUACUGGAAGAAUCGAUCAAGGCACCAAAAACAAAAAGCCAAAAAAAUCUCAUGAACAAAAUCUAAAACGGAGAGUAGAUGAAGCUGGAAUCAACAAUGAAGAAAAUGAAGUGGAUGAAGAUAGAAGGGAGGAAGAAGAAAAUGAACUAUGAAUGGGAUUAGUGUCAUUGAGGCUCUGAAGUUCAAGGAUUAUUGUGAGAUUAAUAAAUAACGUAUUAGAAACUUAGUAGCUUACUAGUAAAGAUUUUGUGUUUUUUCACGGUUAUGGGAAAGGAAAUUGUGGGAAAUCGUCAAAUAGAGAUGUGAAGUUUUGUUACAUGCCAUUAUGGAUAAGACUUUUCUUACGAUUGAUAGAAUUUGAGUUUGGUUGGAUUCACUUAUCUGAAUUUAUUUACUAGCAUAAGCAUUUGUGAGAGAGAGCUAAUAAAAAUAACCUAUGUUCAGUAGUUUUCAACCGAUUUCCAUAAGCUCUCAAGGAUAGCUUAUGAAAGCAGCUUAUAACUUUAAUGAAAAUAGUUUUGAUUUUAUUUUAUCUUUUGUUAUAGAAACAGUUUAUACUCCGGUGUUCAUCUAAUAAGCGUUCUUAUUAUACUGUUUAUCUAAACCGAGCCGCUUAUGAUAUUCUAUGAUAUGUACAAGGAUCUUUGACAUGCUUGAAGCGUAGAGGCUAUAAGAUUAGUUUCGGACAAUUCAUACCGGCAUGUUACUUUUUUAAUAACAUCAGUAAAAAAAUAAUGAUAAUUUAAAAAGAACCAGCCAGUGCACGAGGCUUUAAACAUGCGGAGUCUGAGGAGGGUAGAUAUACACAGCCGCAAGAGGAGAAACUCUUUUCUAAGAUUUGGACCUCAGGUCACAAGGCAACAAAUUUACCGAUGUGCCAAGCGCUGCCCUCAUGAACUUAUAGUCUCAUAACACCACAAAACAAGUCCUCUUCAAACCGACUGAAAUGGCCGGCAUGAUCAAGAAAAACUAUAAACACAAAUUCAAAGGUAAAGUCAAAAAAACAAGAACAUGCCUGAUUAAGGGCCAAAUGGUUCAGUGUAUGUGAUGAUGCAUGCCCGAUGCCUUCUAUUAUAGAUAGAAGAGAUAUGAGCAAACAACAAAAAGUCACCGCCCUAGCACACAACUGAAUAGACCCAAACUACAUCAAGAUUGAUGGAAAAGAUGACAAAAUUUGCAAAGUCACGUGACAUGAUUUGAAAUAUUUGAACGAGUAAGCAUGUCAAAAAUUAUAUCUUAAGUUUACAGAUUCUGAUAUUUGUUUUAAUGUAAGAACACAAUAACAGCGUGUAACUUAAGUGGUUCAUUUCAUGUGAUUCAUUAUGGUUCAUGAAAUUAACAAGUUGACUACAAAUUUUUAUUUUGCUAAGUAACAUGUAACUACAAACUAUAUUUAAAAAGAAGUUCAUAGUUAAUUUCAUAGUCUACUAUGAACCAUUUUAAGUGGUAAUACAUGCUAAAAUAAACCAAAAGUAUGAAUGAAAUGCACAACUGGCAACACUACGAUAUAAUUAGUUACACAAAAGCAAUCAAAAUUUUUGUGAAAUCCACUUAAUCUGCAAGCCAUAAACAACACCUUUAAUCCACGAAAAGGUAGCUACAGACUACAGUGUGUGAGAGACGGAAGGUGCAGAUUAAGAGAAGAGGGGACACCACACUCAUCCCCCUUUACCAACUGAAUUACAACUGAUUAAAAACAUUCAUCCUCCACAAAUAUAGAAUACCAGUGCCUAUCAUGUCUUCAUUCACCUGAUCAAGUUCAUCAAAGAACCUUAGCCUCAUUGUUCGUAUCAUUAAUUAUAGUAAUUAAUGAUUAAUUAACAGUUGUGAUGAAUUAUUACUCAAUAAAGUGUCACAACUUAGGUGAGGUAAUUACCUCAAGACUGAAGGACGACGUUAGGUAUUUCGGCUGUGGUUGGCAUAUCUAAAGGCCUAGAUUAGAAAGAUCAAUUUCUUUUGACUUGGCUUCAGAAUUCUCAACUUCCUCUUCCUCGGUAAUCAACCAAUUGUAGGGAAGCUGAAUUUUAGGUCCAGACCUGCUGAUACUUUCUUCCACGUAAUCAAACAUAAGAUGGUGCACAUCAGAUUCUUCAAAUUCAUUAUUGAAGAACAUAAUGCUAUGGCUAUAAGAAGAUAACUUUUUUGCACCCGCCUUCUUGAUUAACAUGCGCAGUCCCCAUUUUUUUAUCACCAAACCUGGACAGGCUUUAAAAGUGAUAUGUGCUCCUGUUUUCACAAAAUGACAAUGCUCUCGAGAGAUAUAAAUUAUCCAAAGAUGUUUUGAUCCAUCGAUUUUUUCAAGUUCCAAACUAAGCGGCAUUUCAAAGCGUUCUUCCGUGUGUUCACUUUCAAAAGAAAGAUAAAAAGGAUGUGGCAGUGCCGAGGACAAUGAACCACGCGAUGAACCUGAAUUUGUAGGACGGUUGUUUACCUCAAAUGCUGCACAAAAGGAAAAGCCAAUCCAGUUGUCAUCCACAUUAGACUGUACUAUCCUUAUUAUUGAAUCCCCACCAAAUUGGUGAUGGAACCACUCUGGAAUAGGAUGAAUGAAUGGAUCGUCAUUAUAUUUACGUUGGCAAGGGACAAUAAAGUCAAAACCACACCGAAAGGUACGGGGAUCCUGGCAACAGUAAAAAACCAUAGGUAAAUCAGAUCAGGAGAGUUUUAAUCAGGAAAAAGUGCCAAGUGCCUUUCGGUUUCAAGCACACAAGUUUAACUAUGUUGCAAUGUUGAUCUUCUUGAUUGCACAAGAUAUAUCAGAGAAAAAACAGUCAAAUAUCAAAGCUAGAGAAAAAUUGUAUAAGUCUAACCUACAAAUAUAAAGAGAGAGAGGGAUGUUAUGCAAAAUACCGACCUUAAGAAGUUUGUGCAACCAUUGACAAAUAUACUUGCUAAAAUAGUCUUCGGUAUUGGAUAGGAAGAGCUUCACUUUGGGGCAGUCAAAAACAUAUAAUCCUGACCUAUGAUCACGCGAUCCCGAUACAAGUUUGAAAUAACUUCCCACUAGAGACAAAUCUUUUAGUGUAGGUAUAUGUGGAAAAGCACGAAGCUUAUGGCAAUGAGCCAAGUUCAAAUAUGAAAGUCUUCCAAGAUUAAGGAAGGUAUAAGGUAGUGCAUCAAAGUUGUUUCCUUGUAGAUUUAGUCUUUCUAAACAAUGUAGCUCUCCGAUAGCAUCAGGUACUUUAUUAAGAUUGCAAAAGCUUACAUCAAGAAAGAUUAAAGAUUCCAUAUGCGAAGAACUGAGAUUUUGUCCCAGCGGAAGAGUGGUAAGUUUCAAGCAGCCACGUAAAUCUAGAGUUACAAGAGAAGUAAUGGUAUUAAUGCUAUUGGGUAUUCCAGCAAGAAUAAUGCAAUCCCUCAAACUCAAGAAUCUAAGCUUUGCAAUAGCCCCGAUGGACUCAUGGACUGUGGAUAAACUUGUACAUCCAUCCAUGUCAAGGUACUCAAGAUUUGAUGCCCCGGUAAAAUCUGGCGUCUUUUCAAGUUUUGUGCAACCAGAGAGGCGUAGAACUCUCAAAGAAUAUAAAUUUGAUACAAUACCAAAAUCGAGGUUGACCAAACUGCUGCAGUUUUGCAAACUUAAGAAAACAAGUUCUGUAAGAUGUCCAAUUGAUGGAUGAACCUGUAUUAAGUUUGUGC